CCUACGGGUGGCAGCAGUGGGGAAUAUUGGACAAUGGGGGCAACCCUGAUCCAGCAAUGCCGCGUGUGUGAUGAAGGCCCUAGGGUUGUAAAGCACUUUCGCCGGUGACGAUGAUGACGGUAGCCGGAUAAGAAGCCCCGGCUAACUCCGUGCCAGCAGCCGCGGUAAUACGGAGGGGGCGAGCGUUGUUCGGAAUUACUGGGCGUAAAGGGCGCGUAGGCGGUGACGUUAGUCGGGCGUGAAAGCCCCGGGCUCAACCUGGGAUGUGCGCUCGAUACUGCGUUGCUCGAGAGCGGAAGAGGGUAGUGGAAUUCCCAGUGUAGAGGUGAAAUUCGUAGAUAUUGGGAAGAACACCAGUGGCGAAGGCGGCUACCUGGUCCGUUUCUGACGCUGAGGCGCGAAAGCGUGGGGAGCAAACAGGAUUAGAUACCCUUGUAGUC
rnacentral:rRNA from 1 species